GGAAAGGCCAUAGCACAGCGGUAAGCAUCUUCCUUGCAAGCAGAAGGUCCAGGUUCAAUCCCAGGGGUCUCCA